CAGUCGCCACGGUAAAACAGAGGGUGCGAGCGUUAAUCGGAUUUACUGGGCGUAAAGCGUGCGUAGGCGGCUAAUUGAGUCGGAUGUGAAAUCCCCGAGCUUAACUUGGGAAUUGCAUUCGAUACUGGUUAGCUAGAGUGUGGGAGAGGAUGGUAGAAUUCCAGGUGUAGCGGUGAAAUGCGUAGAGAUCUGGAGGAAUACCGAUGGCGAAGGCAGCCAUCUGGCCUAACACUGACGCUGAGGUACGAAAGCAUGGGGAGCAAACAGGAUUAGAUACCCGCGUAGUCCCUGUCUCUUAUAC
rnacentral:rRNA from 1 species